rnacentral:rRNA from 1 species
GAUGAACGCUGGCGGCGUGCCUAAUACAUGCAAGUAGAACGCUGAAGGAGGAGCUUGCUCUUCUGGAUGAGUUGCGAACGGGUGAGUAACGCGUAGGUAACCUGCCUGGUAGCGGGGGAUAACUAUUGGAAACGAUAGCUAAUACCGCAUGACAACAGUUAUUGCAUGAUAACUGUUUAAAAGGGGCAACUGCUCCACUACCAGAUGGACCUGCGUUGUAUUAGCUAGUUGGUGAGGUAACGGCUCACCAAGGCGACGAUACAUAGCCGACCUGAGAGGGGGAUCGGCCACACUGGGACUGGGACACGGCCCAGACUCCUACGGGAGGCAGCAGUAGGGAAUCUUCGGCAAUGGACGGAAGUCUGACCGAGCAACGCCGCGUGAGUGCAGAAGGUUUUCGGAUCGUAAAGCUCUGUUGUAAGAGAAGAACGAGUGUGAGAGUGGAAAGUUCACACUGUGACGGUAUCUUACCAGAAAGGGACGGCUAACUACGUG